UACUUCUUGAUGCAUUCUAUUCCAGGCAACAUCAUCCAAAAUGUUCAAGGAGUUCCAGUGUUUAGCUGUCAGCGGUCCAACGCAUGACCAACAGCCUGUCUUUCAAUGGAGCAAAACAGAAUGGAAGCGUCCCCUUGGUCAUCCUGACAAAUUUGAUUUCUCGCCUGUUCUUGUUUCUUGGGAAAAUGGGAAUUGAACAAAUUCUAAAUCAUGCGAUUUAUCUAAAGUAUGUUAGCUGUGAAACAAGUCCAUUCUCUGAGUAGCAAUAAUUGGUUUUAUACUUAACUCUACGUCAAGUACGCCAGGGUCGCCAACAGUUAAAAAUAAAGAAUCAAAAGAAAGAAAGGAUUUCAUGUCAUUAUAGCAAUAAUAUACUGCAACUUGUUGAUCAACCAAGCCCUACCGUAAACCUCAAAAAUAGCUCCAGUUGUUUUAUCUCUGAACUCUUCCCAAUCCAUGACUUUUKUUAUGGUUGAUGUGUACAUUUUUGCUGAUAUUUCUGUGUUGUUUUCCAGUUUUCCUUGYAGUUUGAAACUUCCACCUUUCAAAAAAAUAUAAUUMAAAGUUUUUUCAUAAAAAAUUGUUAUUAAUAUACAGAGAGCUUCAAUCUCCCCUCCACUUCCAACUCAAGACACACAGAUGCAAAGAGCUAGUUUAGCUAUSAAAUUAUAGAACAAUAAGAUUUACUUGGUCGGGUUGUCCAGAUGUUUGAUAUUAUCCUGAUURGCGUUGCUUCUCUUUUUUCCCUUUCUCAUUACGCCUGGGUUCUCGAGGAUGGCACACUUUAGUGUUAAGCUUAAUGUUUACCUUGGUUUUGGCAUAGGGCGGAUUUUUUGGUGCAUUAUUAUUUUGUUUCUURAAGUCCACUUUGAUGUGCAUGGGUUUUUGUGUAGGUAUUUUCAUUGUUGUUGCUUUUUGACAACGACGAAUUGCCUGAAUUUUGUCUUCCUUUCUUGUGCUGCAUUAAAAUUCGACUUGAA